rnacentral:misc_RNA from 1 species
GAUGAAGAACGUAGCGAAAUGCGAUAAGUAAUGCGAAUUGCAGAUUUCAGUGAGUCAUCGAAUCUUUGAACGCACAUUGUGCCCGCCAGUAUUCUGGCGGGCAUGCCUGUUCGAGCGUCAUUUCAACCAUCAAGCCCCCGGGCUUGCGUUGGGGCCCUGCGGCUGCCGCAGGCCCCGAAAAGCAGUGGCGGGCUCGCUGUCACACCGAGCGCAGUAGCGAUUCUCGCUCCGGGCGUCGGCGGCGGGCACCGGCCGUGAAACCCCCCCACAUCCACAAGGUUGACCUCGGAUCAGGUAGGAAUACCCGCUGAACUUAAGCAUAUCAAUAAGCGGAGGA